ACAAUGAAUAUAUAAAAACUGACAAGCUGUGUGUAUAUAUAUAUAUAUUAAGUAUUUUUAUAACACGUACAAUGUAUGUGCCAUUUAAACAUGGAGGCAUUCGCUGAAUAAAUUGUAUCUAGCUAAUAUGCAUCUCAUUAAAAGUACCAGUCUACCAGUUCAAAUAUAUCGUUUCUGUGAUAAACUCCGGUUUGUGACUCGAUAUUCAACAGCAGCAGCAACUUCAAAUUCAACAAUUCAUAAAGAAGACAUUUCAAACGUUUCAUUUAAUUAGCUGUUCUAUUAUGUGCAUUCCCCUAUCACACUGAAAACAUAGACAACAGCAAAAGUAGGCGAGACACUGGGUUCCGCGGAACCCUUACGAAUUUUUGUUUUAAAGUCUGGAAUAAAUUUGAACACGAUAAUGACUUUACUAUCGCUAUUUAAAAAAAAAAAAAAAAAAAAAAAAAAAAAAAAACAA